rnacentral:rRNA from 1 species
UACGUAGGGUGCGAGCGUUAAUCGGAAUUACUGGGCGUAAAGCGUGCGCAGGCGGUUCGUUGUGUCGGUGGUGAAAUCCCCGGGCUUAACCUGGGAAUGGCCAUGGAAACUGGCGAACUGGAGUGUGGCAGAGGGGGGUGGAAUUCCGCGUGUAGCAGUGAAAUGCGUAGAGAUGCGGAGGAACACCGAUGGCGAAGGCAGCCCCCCUGGGCUAGCACUGACGCUCAGGCACGAAAGCGUGGGGAGCAAACAGG